AAGUAGAACGCACAGGAUGCACCGUAGUUUACUACACCGUAUUCUGUGAGUUGCGAACGGGUGAGUAACGCGUAGGUAACCUGCCUGGUAGCGGGGGAUAACUAUUGGAAACGAUAGCUAAUACCGCAUAAGAACAUUUACUGCAUGGUAGAUGUUUAAAAGGUGCAAAAGCAUCACUACCAGAUGGACCUGCGUUGUAUUAGCUAGUUGGUGAGGUAACGGCUCACCAAGGCAACGAUACAUAGCCGACCUGAGAGGGUGAUCGGCCACACUGGGACUGAGACACGGCCCAGACUCCUACGGGAGGCAGCAGUAGGGAAUCUUCGGCAAUGGGGGGAACCCUGACCGAGCAACGCCGCGUGAGUGAAGAAGGUUUUCGGAUCGUAAAGCUCUGUUGUUAAGGAAGAACGUGUGUGAGAGUGGAAAGUUCACACAGUGACGGUACUUAACCAGAAAGGGACGGCUAACUACGUGCCAGCAGCCGCGGUAAUACGUAGGUCCCGAGCGUUGUCCGGAUUUAUUGGGCGUAAAGCGAGCGCAGGCGGUUAGAUAAGUCUGAAGUGAAAGGCAGUGGCUCAACCAUUGUAGGCUUUGGAAACUGUUUAACUUGAGUGCAGAAGGGGAGAGUGGAAUUCCAUGUGUAGCGGUGAAAUGCGUAGAUAUAUGGAGGAACACCGGUGGCGAAAGCGGCUCUCUGGUCUGUAACUGACGCUGAGGCUCGAAAGCGUGGGGAGCGAACAGGAUUAGAUACCCUGGUAGUCCACGCCGUAAACGAUGAGUGCUAGGUGUUAGGUCCUUUCC
rnacentral:rRNA from 1 species